UGUUGCUGAACUGUAUCAAGCAAUCCGAUUGAUAGAAGUGAGGGGAAAAUGGUGUUUCUGAUGUUAGAAGUUUUUGGACAUUAGUUUGUACUUGAGUUCUCAUUAUUCCAUGUUGUAGUAUGAAUAUCUAUCUCCAAUAAAAUUUUGAUUAGACGGAUGUAACAUAUGAUUAUACUAAUAAAAACUAUUAUCAAAACAAAGAUUAUAGAGCAAAUUUAACAAUAAUAGAAUGAUCCAUGCAUGCCCUUCUAGGGCUUAAAAAGACUAAUGUAUCAUUUGGAAUAUGUUCGCAGAGCCAGAUCCCUCCUUGUUUUUUCUUCUUUGGAAGAGGCAUUAU
rnacentral:lncRNA from 1 species